rnacentral:tRNA from 1 species
GCCCGGGUGGUCUAGUGGGUAAGGAAAAUCGACUCUGCCAAUGUCACCGAACAAAUCACUAAUAAGUAUUACAGUAUGAUUCGCGCUUAGGGUUCACCCAAAGCAUUGACUGCGCGAGGUCCCCGGUUCGAUCCCGGGCUCGGGCC